CAGUCGCCGCGGUAAUACGUAGGGUGCGAGCGUUAAUCGGAAUUACUGGGCGUAAAGCGUGCGCAGGCGGUUUUGUAAGACAGGCGUGAAAUCCCCGGGCUCAACCUGGGAAUGGCGCUUGUGACUGCAAAGCUAGAGUGCGGCAGAGGGGGAUGGAAUUCCGCGUGUAGCAGUGAAAUGCGUAGAUAUGCGGAGGAACACCGAUGGCGAAGGCAAUCCCCUGGGCCUGCACUGACGCCCAUGCACGAAAGCGUGGGGAGCAAACAGGAUUAGAUACCCGCGUAGUCCCUGUCUCUUAUAC
rnacentral:rRNA from 1 species